GCAUCGAAACCGAGAAUGAAAGCAAAGCGAACGAAAAUAAAAGCAACUCUGCUUUUGCUCUCGUAGCAACAGCGUAGUUGCUCUCAUAGCAUUUUUGUAGUUGCUCGGUGCAUGUACGGUUUUAAACGCGUAGUAAUAUUAAUUCACCUCAAGCGUAAACAUGGCUUCGCGAAAAAACAAUAUUUUAAAAUAUUUUGGAGACGAUGGGUCAACAUAUGUGCAGUGCAAAUCUUGUAAUCGGUCUUUAAAGAAAGAUCGUACAUUUAAUUUAAAGAAACAUAUUGUUGGAGUGCACAAAAUAAAAAUAGAUAAUCUAGACGAGGAGUCCACUUGUUCAGAAAAUAUAACAGAACCCAGAAAAGAAAUAAUGAAAGUUAAAAUAAACAAAAAACAGUUAAUUCGUUCAUACAUAGGACUGGUAACAGAAGAAAGCGUACCUUUCAAUGUUUUAAAUUCGCUCUUCAUAAAUAAAUAAAUAAAUAAAUAGAUCCGAUUUGUCUGGGUCUUACAGAAAAGAGUGGAAAAAGCUUUAAAUUAAAUGGCAGUAAAUGCAAAAAUAUGCUAAAACAUGUGGCGAAAAACAUACGCAGCGAAAUGCAACAAGAAAUGCAGGGCCGCUUAAUGACUUUGAAAAUAGAUAGCGCAACUCAGCUUAACCGUAAUAUUUUUGGAAUAAGCGCGCAAUUUAUUAAUGAAAAUAAAAUUGUAUCCCGGAUUUUAGGCAUGUCUGAAAUUAAAGGCACUAGUGGAAGUACGUCUAAAAAUCUUGCCAAAGAAAUUAUAGCUACUUUAGAGAAGUACAACAUCCGAUUGAAUCAAAUUAUUUCAAUUACAUCAGACAAUGGAGCUAACAUGAUAAAAACAACAAAAAUAUUAUCACAUAGUUAUGCAGCUGAUGAUGAUUUUGAAGGCACAGAGGAAGUGGAAAAAAACAUAGACUAUACUAAAAAAAUUGAUAAUUUUGAGACCCCAGAAGAAUUGCACGUGGGUAAUAUACAAAUAUGCCGGUGUGCAGCACAUACUGCACAACUUUGCGCACUUGAUGUUUCAAAAAAGGCAGACAUUAAAAGCUAUGUAAUUCAAUGUCGCAACGUGACGAAAUACAUUCGUAAGCCAUCAAAUGGUUAUCGUGAGGCAUUUGACUUUCGAAAACUUAAAUUGCCUCAAUUGGAUUGUCCCACAAGGUGGGGAUCAACAUAUGAAAUGAUCGAUCGACUUAACAAAGCUAAGGACGUAUUGAGUGAAAUUGAAGCAAUCGAAAAUAAAACGGAUGAUGAAAAUUUCGACGCUACCUCUAUGUUGUGGGAGUUUAUAGAUAGCUACACUUGCAUUAUGAAUCCACAAACUUUAUUCAUCAACAACUUCAUUGAAUUCUAUGAGUCUUGAAGAAGGGCUGGAAAAUAAUGAGUUCGACUUGUUAGACAGCUAUUUGGGAGCUACGGUAUCGCCAUCAGACGAAUGCACGGAUGUUUUUACAAAAAUCGAAACACUAAAACUCCCUUACAUGAAAGCAAGUGUUAAUGUAUUGAACUUCUGGAGAGAAAGAAAGUCGACUGAUCCUGAACUGUAUGCACUAAGCAAAGUAUGCUUUGCCACUCCGCCCACACAAGUCACAAUCGAAAGGGCAUUUUCAUCAUUAAAACUUCUAUUGGUCGACAAUCGGAAUAGGUUAAGCCACGACACAUUAGAAAAUAUUAUACUUGUCAAACUAAACUCAUUCCAUUUGGAUAGUGUCAUCGAAAAUUUCCCUUCAUUUGAAGACGAAGAAAAUCAUAAUUGAAAUUAUUGUUAUUGUUGAAAUUUAAUUUUUUAUUUUUGUUAUAUUGAAAAGGAAUAUAUUAUUAUAAUUUGAAA